CUGCAGGCUGGGACAAGCGUUACUGUGAAGCGGGCUUCAGCUCCGUGGUCACUCAGGCAAGUAGGGAGCAAAAGCGGAGUGGGGGCGGCUCCAAAACAGGGCCCCCUCUCACCCUCAGGACUUCCCUUCCAGGCCGGAGAGCUGGUGCUUGGGGCUCCUGGCGGCUAUUAUUUCUUAGGUCUCCUGGCCCAGGCUCCAAUUGCGGAUAUUUUCUCGAGUUACCGCCCAGGCAUCCUUUUGUGGCACGUGUCCUCCCAGAGCCUCUCCUUUGACUCCAGCAACCCAGAGUACUUCGACGGCUACUGGGGGUACUCGGUGGCCGUGGGCGAGUUCGACGGGGAUCUCAACACUACAGAGUAUGUCGUCGGUGCCCCCACUUGGAGCUGGACCCUGGGAGCGGUGGAAAUUUUGGACUCCUACUACCAAAGGCUGCACCGGCUGCGCGGAGAGCAGAUGGCGUCG
rnacentral:sRNA from 1 species